AAGAAAGUAAGAAACGGACAUUGCAAAAUAUAAGCACAUUAGCUAUCAACUUAAAAUUUGCUGUUGACCAAAUCUCUCGCUCGCUCUCUCUCUCUCUCUCUCUCUCUCUCUCUUUCUCUCUCAGAAACUGAAAAAGUUGAAACCUCCUUUUUUCACCUUCACUGAACUCAAACAGGCUUUAAAAUUCACAGGGUUGCCCACGUCGUUCAAUUCCGCCGCCUCGCCACUUAAAACGGCGCGGCCACCCACAGCAACAAUGCCCGUGGCAACUUUGGCAGCGCAGUCGGUCCUCUCCCUCGUCUACCUCACCAGACAGGGGGAGCACGCGUGCGGCUGUUUAUUUUUAAAUACACUCUGCAAGCGAAUAUCCGCAUUCAUGGCUGAUUCAGACCGAGACUCUCCAAUCUGCUCACACCAGGGGGGGGGUUGGCACAUUCAAGAGCACCUGCCACUCAGCGGCGCACCGAGCGCUGAGCUGACAGAUGGCACUUUUAACUUUACGGAGGGAGCAAGGUGGCAGCACAUAUGACAAAAUGUCAGCAUUUUGGGACGGGGGCAAAGGUCACCUCUCAAAUGGGAUGACCAUUCAAGUUGUGAUGCAGGGUUGCA